GAUGAACGCUGGCUACAGGCUUAACACAUGCAAGUCGAGGGGAAACGACGGGGAAGCUUGCUUCCCCGGGCGUCGACCGGCGCACGGGUGAGUAACGCGUAUCCAACCUGCCUCUGACUGAGGGAUAACCCGUCGAAAGUCGGCCUAAUACCUCAUGGCAUCGUCUGCGGGCAUCCAACGACGAUUAAAGAUUUCAUCGGUCAGGGAUGGGGAUGCGUCUGAUUAGCUUGUUGGCGGGGUAACGGCCCACCAAGGCUACGAUCAGUAGGGGUUCUGAGAGGAAGGUCCCCCACAUUGGAACUGAGACACGGUCCAAACUCCUACGGGAGGCAGCAGUGAGGAAUAUUGGUCAAGGGGCGGGAGCCUGAACCAGCCAAGUAGCGUGCAGGAUGACGGCCCUAUGGGUUGUAAACUGCUUUUAUGCGGGGAUAAAGUGAGGGACGUGUCCUUCAUUGCAGGUACCGCAUGAAUAAGGACCGGCUAAUUCCGUG
rnacentral:rRNA from 1 species